rnacentral:hammerhead_ribozyme from 1 species
AUCCAGCUGACGAGUCCUAAAUAGGAUGAAACGCCCGCCCUAGAU